rnacentral:lncRNA from 1 species
UACUUAAAGCCAAAACAAACACACACACACACACGCGCGCGCACACACACUCUCAAGAGAGAGGCCCACGGCACUGGAAACCACUGGAAGCCUGGGCAAGCCUGGAAACCAGAAGCAAGGGCCAGCUUUUCCCUUUUCCAGCUUGUUCGACGGGGGCGGAGAGGGAGUCACAGAGCAGGUUUCAGGGAGAAGUUGUGUGAAGGGUUCCCCAAACUUCUCUGCGCCCCCUUCUCUUUCUUUGUAAAGGAAGACAGCCGUCGUCCCUUCUGCACAGACUCCUCGCCAAGAACAAACAAACAAAGGCUGGGACGAAGCAAGGCCCCUUGCAAGCUGCAGAUACCUGAUCGCCACGAAAAGCCAUGUCACCAGGCAGGAGAGCCGGCAUCAUCCCAGGGGAAACCCCGCGGCCCUCUGCCCCCAAAGUUGGUCCACAGUGCCCCCAACCUUUGGAUGUGUGUCUACUGCUGCACCUGCUUGCUCGCCUGUGCCUUCCGCUAGCUGAGAAAUGACCCAGAGAAGAGCUUUGCCUUAUUUCUCUGCACCGUCAAGCCCGGCAAAGGCUCAGCACCUGUGAGAGAUGUUUUGCGUGAGUGGAUGAGCACGUGUGUCUCGGGGGUACAAAGGGUCACAAGGAAGUCUGGACCUGUAUGUAGGACCCUGGGAGCACAGCCUGGUAUCCAGCUGCUCCCCGAGAGCUCGUGUGGCCGCGGGGGCCUGCAGAGGGACGGUGGAUGCCAGCCCAGGCUCACCAAGCUAGCAAAGAAGCAAUGCUGGCCGGUGGGCUUUAUUUCCCCAUAAACCAAAUCCUGCUCUCCUUCCCUCCCAGCGCCACUCACUAACUCCUCCCUGACAUGGCUGGCUUGAAGCCCACACAUAAAAAUGUCCUUUACUAUUUUUAUUUAAUGAGCUUUCAUUUUCCUCCCCCUCUUUGUAAAUGAGAAAGGAAAGCCCACCUCCUAAUGGGGAUGGGGGAGAGGAAGCCAAGUGGAAUCUUUUUAAAAUGGGCCAUAACUUCACGAAAAGCUUUCUCCUUGCCAACACCCCCGGCCACCCACCCCUCCCCCCACGCCCUCCUGUCCCUCCGUCCCCCUCGGCCCCCCUCCCCGCUCGUCGUUCAAAACAAGACGCAUGGAUUUUGGACAUUUGAUUACUUUUAAGUAUAUAUUUUUCCCUCAAAUAGACUGAAUACAAUGGUUAGGAAAUGUGACAGAAAACUAUUCUGAGUCAUUUAUUGCCUUAAUACCCACCUUUGUCCAACAGGCAGUUUUGACAACAGCGAUAAAUUCCAAAUUUAUGUCAACAGAGCAUAUGUUGAACACCUCAUUUCUGAGCUAAAGCGGCAUGCUGCCC